rnacentral:rRNA from 1 species
AUGGUACCCAUAUUUUUACUUUUCCUCUGGUUCUUUGGCACUAUGGCUGGUCGACGUUGCUUGUCUGAGCGACAAGGCCAUCAUCUGCAAUCAAAUGGUGCAAUUGAUCUUGAAGUUGAUGGUGGGACUAUAGGUCUUCAUCCAGAAAUAGGAAUCACAAAAGGUAACUCUCGAGCCAAAUGGAGUCACCAAAUGAAGCUGUACCUUAUUAGACUCCUAAAAGAUCACGAUGUGCCUGGUUUUCGGACACAGAAUGCUUGGAGCAAGGAGGCGUGGAAUAAUAUUCUUCAUCAACUCAAUCAAAAGUUUGAUCAGUCAUUUACUCUCAACCAAGUCAAACAGAAGGAGCAAGAUCUGAAGAGAGCCUAUCGUACUGUGAAAAAGUUGGAUGUAAGUGGCUUUGGAUGGGAUAAGGACAGAAAAAUGGUAGACGCACCUGAUAGUGUUUGGGCAAGCUUUACUGCUCGUACGAACAGCAAGGAUGCUCUCCAAUGGAAAGAAAGAUCAUUUCCCUUUUAUUAA